UGGCUCUUCCCCCCACCCUGCUGUGUCCCGGGCUUGUUUUCCGUUGCCUGCGGUGUGUUGCAGUGACUCAGGCAGCGAAAGCAAGUCUGGGAGGCUGUGGAGAAGCUGCAGGGCAGGCA
rnacentral:precursor_RNA from 7 species